rnacentral:tRNA from 1 species
GGGCCUUUAGCUCAGCCGGUUAGAGCAGCGGUCUUAUAAGCCGCCGGUCCGGGGUUCAAGUCCCCGAAGGCCCACCA